rnacentral:rRNA from 1 species
UACGGGGGGGGCAAGCGUUGUUCGGAAUUACUGGGCGUAAAGGGCUCGUAGGCGGCCAACUAAGUCAGACGUGAAAUCCCUCGGCUUAACCGGGGAACUGCAUCCGAAACUGGCAAGCUUGAGUACGAAAGAGGGUCGCGGAAUUCCCGGUGUAGAGGUGAAAUUCGUAGAUAUCGGGAGGAACACCGGUGGCGAAGGCGGCGACCUGGGUCGAUACUGACGCUGAGGUGCGAAAGCGUGGGGAGCAAACAGG